rnacentral:lncRNA from 1 species
AUUUUGCUGUUAUUUUUGCUGUUAUUUAGAUUAAUAUAACGACAUAAGGUAAAAAAAUAACACCAUAAUGACACAAAAUAACGCCAUUUAUGCUGUUAUAUUGUAUCCCAAUGCUGUUAUAUUUUUGUUAAAUAUAACAGAAUAAUUUUUUAGAGUGUAGUUUGAGCUUUCUGCAAGCAUAUGUUUAAAAGACAAAAUAAAAAACUUUAUGUACUAACUUUAUUCAUUCCCAGUGGGCACCGACGUCAUUCUCACGUCGUUGCGAUGUUGGUUUUAGGUUGGCGACAUCGCUAACGUAAAAUCAUCAUCGCAUUAACGUGAGAAUGACGUCGAAAAUUAACAUCGCGUUGCGAUGUUGAACCAACAUUAAAGCGACGUAAAACUCGUAGUUUUAUCUAACGUGGAUUUUUAAAUUGAAAAUGACAUCGCUCUAACGUUGACACGCAAUGUUUUACAGAACAUUUAAAUAUAGAAUAAAGUAUUUCACUAAAAUUGGCACGCGUUGAAACUCAGUGUCGCUACGUACGAUGAAACACAUCGUUCAAUUUUCGAGGAACUAAUCGCCUCGAAAAUAAUAAAGAGUCAAGACCUAAGAAAGAAGCUUAUAAAUAUCUUAUUAUAUGCAAAGCUGUGUGCUGCGCAGUAAUGAAGGAUAAAAAAUUUAACAAAGAAGACGUAUUAAACUGCGUAAAAGAUAUUUUGCAAUACGCUCCAGAAAAGGCCACAGGCGGAAGACGGUCUUCAACAUAAUAUUUUUUUAAUUGUUAAAAUGUAAAAAGCAAAUGAGUGGUUAACUUGUAAAUCUUGUUUUAUAUUUCAAUACCAUAGUUAUAUAUUUA